rnacentral:lncRNA from 1 species
GGGCCGGCAGACAGGCCAUCCAUCAUCCGCCCUCCUCCCGCGGAGCGCCGCAGCCGCCGCGGCCAAUCCGGCGGCAGGUGGGGCCGCACCUGCGCGACAGCCCGCCGCUUCCCUCCGCUCCCUUCGCCGCGCCUCGCGUGCUAGCGGUGCCCUUGUGAGCCACUGCGUUCUCCAAGGCCAGAACGGGACAGUUGACGAUGGUCGUACUUCUCCAUGUUCUGAGACCAGUUUAAACAAAAACAAAAACCAGACAACAACCUUGCAAGGGAAAGAAUUCAGAGUAAAUAAACAGUCUUUUUCUGGGAAGUAAAAUAUUUCCCUAAGAUGGAGAAAUUGAGAUGAGAGCUCAUCCACAAGAUUACCCAUCAAUGAGCACCAAUAGCAACCAAAUCCACUAGAAGACUGGGAGCUUUUAAGUCAAGAAACUUACAUCAGUAUCAUCAUUCCAAGAAGCGGUAUCCAAGCUGUUUUAUCGAAAGUGCGCAUGGGAGAUAAGACUCUGAGAAUUUAUAGAAACAAACAUUAGAAGGCAGGAAUGUGGAGAGAAGAAAGCUACCUGACAAGGGAAUCUCAGGAUACAAGGAAAACACCAAGAGUCUCUCCUGUUGCCCAGGCUGGAGUACAGCCGCGCAAUCUCAGCUCACUGCAACUUCUGCCUCCCAGGUUCAAUAGAAUCUCCUGCCUCAGCCUCCCAAGUAGCUGGGAUUACAUGCAUGUGCCACCACGCACGGCUAGAGAACUAUUGAUGAGAUGAAGUGAUGCAUCUUCAAGUUAACUAGUACCUGUCUGUUCUUCUACAUUGUACAUUAGAUAACUCACCAACUCCUCAGAAGACUGAAGCCUCAGCAGGUGUUGGCACUGUCACAUGUUAGCAUUCCUGAUCUACAUUUUGAUGAGUCCCAAAUUAGCGGAGUUUGUUGCUGUGAAGUUAGUUUUCUUAGUUAACCAUAGCAUAUCCCCAGUUUAAGAUGCAUAAACGGCAUCAUGGCUCACUUGUGAAGUGACUGUUCAAGUCUUUUCCCAUUUAUUAAAUUAGAUGAGUCUGUUACUUUCUAAUUUAUUUGAGAGAUAUUCAAAUGGCAGACUAUAUGAAAAGAUCCAAAAUAGCCUCAGUCUUAAGAAGUAAGCAGUUGCAGGAUACUCAUGUUGUGGAGACCUUAAUCAACUGAAUUGGUUAUGUUUCUAGCUAUAGGAUCACUCAGAGGGAGGGCAGUUAGGCCUUAUGGUUUGACACACUCAGAAGUUAUGUGUAGGGACACUUGAGAUCCAUGUGCACAGCCUCUCCCAUGAGUAAAUGUCAAUCAGGAAAUGUAAAAAACAUCAAACCACUAAAAUUAUUUUUUAGAUACUCCAUAGCUAAUUUUUAAAGUAUCUAAAAAAUAAGAUCCAAAUGAGCAUGAAUGAAUAUCAAGAUAAAAAUAAAUAAAAUGUUCUUAAUAAAGCUAAACAUUUUAAUUUUUUUCAAAAUUUAAUUUCACACUAUUAAAUAUUUUUUUAAAAAUAAAACUAUUUGCAGUGUUUCUAGGAAAUGUCCAUAUGGUUGCCAAUGGGGAAAAAUGGCAACCCCCUUUGUGUAGGUAGAAUUCUAUGAUGAACCCCCAAAUCCUCAUUUUCUGGUGUAUGUGCUCAUUAUAAUCUUCUCCCAAUUGAUUGGGAGUAGAAACAGUGAAUAUGAUAGAAUAUAAUUUCAGUGAUUAUGUUUCCUUAUAAAGCAAAAGAGAUUUUUCCAAAUGUAAUUAAGGUCCCUAAUCAGUUGACUGAGUUGAGUGACAGCAGAUACUCUCCUGCUCUCUUUAAAGAAGUCCCCAUGAGUCCCUACAGCCACAAUAAAUUGAAUUCUGCCAAAAAUCUUAAUAAGCUUGGAAGAAGACCUUCAGCUCCUGAUGAGAACCCAGCCAGAAACAAGAUGAGAACCCAGAAACAAGAUUUUCAUCUUAUUUCAACCUGAGCAGAGAACCCAGAGGAGCCCUGGCCAGAUUUUUGGUCUACAGGAUUGAGGUAACAACUGGGGGUUGGUUUAAGUUACUACAGUUAUGGUUAUUUGUUACAGCAGCAGUGGAAACUGAAUACUCUUCUUAUGCAUAUUAUGGCUGAAACUGCUAUUCAAAAUUUAAUGGCAAUUACUCUACAAAAUAUGGACAACCACCAUUCUUUGCACAUUGUUGAAAAUAUUACAUGGGAAAUGUAUGAAGGAUAUGAGUACAAUGCCAGGCACAGGGCAAGUUGCCAAUAAAUGGAAGCUCUCAUUAUUGAACAAGACCUUGUUAAUGGACAUAGACAAAACAAAUCAGAACUUUUAUAUACCAUGAAUGUCAAUUAAUAUUCAGUGUUACUGAUCUGAUGAAGAACAAUCAACCUGCUUUGGCAAUAACUGCUAAAGUCUAAAGGUGACAUGUGGGGACAUAUGUAUAUCAUAUGUAUAUGUAAUAUACAUGUGUGAUGACAUAUGUAUAUCAUAACCCUGGACUUGUCCUCAUUGAGAAAGUGGUAGAAAACAAAACAAAAACAAAAACAAAAAAGGAGGAUGUCAGUUAUGGUUCCUCAGAAUGCCCAUACCUGGAUAUUCUCACAGGGCCUAAGGGUGCAAAAGAAAAAAGUACCAAAAGACUCUUCUUGACAAUAAAAAAUAAAUAUGAUAUCUUGCCAUCAGAUAUAAAGUUCAUGUAAUUGUCUUUAACAUUCUCAUAGUUAAAUGGGGUGAGGAGCAGGGCAAUUUUGCAGGGGAAGGGAAGAGAAGGCCAUUCCUACAAAUAUCCAAGCUUUAGGCUUUUUGUGUGAGAAGUUAAAAAAAAACCCUACAUUGACAGAAAAACUGUCAUUUAUUGCACUGGAUGAGUGACUAAAAAUUUCUCCUUGGGGGAAAAAGAUGAUUUCCCCCUAUGGCAAUUCAAGGCAACAAGAUUGCAUUGCUUUUUGUUGUAGAAAGCUGCUUUUGCUCAUAGAUGUGAAAGACACACACACACACACACACACACACACACACACCCCUUACUCAUCCCUCUCUGGCUUCUUAUUUUUUUAAGGAUUAUUUGUUUCUGAAAAUGCUGGUCUCCAAGAUUGAAUGAGGAUGAGGAGGGUUCACAAUGGAUAAAGCACAUAGGUCUUGCUUAUAAAUCACAGAUCUGGGAAAUGAAAGGAAGAAAAUAUUUGAUUUAUCUAAAUUAUCUUGGAGUUUCUUAGCUUUUAGUAUGUCAAACAUUAGAGGAUACUUUAAAUUACUUUUUUCUCAUUUGGGUGUGUAUGAAAAAAGUGGAGGUGAGGGGAGGGAUUUUGGUGAUAUAACAGCUUAUUUGUUUCACAAUUUCUGCUGCUUCUUCUUUUUCUUCUUCUUCUUCUUCUUCUUCUUCUUCUUCUUCUUCUUCUUCUUCUUCUUCUUCUUCUUCUUCUUCUUCUUCUUCUUCUUCCUAUUUUUUUAAAUUAGAAUUUUUAGAAAUAUUCCUAAAUGCAUAAGGCUCUCCAGAAUUCCUCUACCAUUGACACUUUCAGUAAUUAUAUAAUUUGGUCAGAAAGAGGCCCCCUGCUUCCUCCCUCACACAUUACUAGAGACAGUGAG